rnacentral:lncRNA from 1 species
UUUCGGAGUGGAGUUUCCUAGCUGGUGCCUGUCCUCUCUUGAGCCUUUGUUUCUUGAGUGAGCACUCACUGGGGCUGUGGCUCCAUGAACUGGAUUUCAGGAAACCAGCCAAGGCAUUCUCUCUCUCUCUCCAUUCCUAGAAAGGCAGAAAGCCUGGGAAUGGGUUCGGCAGGAAGAUCUCUGUACCUCAAUCUCCAUUGCUUUCAGCACCACUGGCUUUCUCCCCAGCUCAAGUGCAAAACCUGCCAUCGUUGCUACCUGGGGUGCCUCAGACUCACCCAAGUCCCCCAGGCCAGAGGACAUGCUCUCAAGCCUUGUUUCAGAAAGAGGGACCCAAAGGCUGUUAGGGAAGAGAACCAGGGUCCUCAAACCCAGGGUUUUCUCACCCACUGCCUCUGCUCUGGCUGUGGCCUGCCAGACCUCUCCUCUGAUUUUCGCUUUCCUUCCUGCCAGUGCCUUUGUUUAUCCGAGGCGCCAAGAUCCCACUGUGAAGUCUGAAAGGAAGACCAGUGGUUCUCGCUUUUCCUCUAGAUGCUGUGUCUCCCAAUGUCAUCUUCUUUCCUCUCAAAGACAAUUGGACGUUGUUACAGAUUUUCUUGGAAUGAGGAAAUACCUAGCAGUGGGAUUGCUGGAUCAUAUGAAAAUGCCAGACUAUAUUUCAUCAGCAACAUCGGAGAGUUCCAGUUGCUCUACACCCUCACUAGCACUUAAUAUUGGUGAUCGCUGCCUGGAUUCACAGAAGGACAAAUUACAAUGCAUUUUGAAAGACUCGUCUACAGUCAACUAAAAUACCAGUUAUCACAGACUUCACUGGCCUUAAUGAGGAGGCUGAGAGGGAUUUAAUUACUGGGACAUGCAACGCUUACACCAAACUCUGUUCGAUUCACGACUUGGAAAAGCAAAUGUGGAUACAGAUGAGUGUGGACAUGGCUUCAGUAGGAAAUGUCGAGUUUGUUCAUCACUCUGAAGUUUCUUCAGCUGCAACGGAAACUGCACCCUCCCUCCCGACUUGUUGGUUAUCUUGCUGUGCUCCCAAGAAGGUAUUUUCUGCUGACCUGAUAGAUCAGGCCUUUGUCAUUUUGAUUGAAAAGAUGUUUACCUGUUGGUCCCCAGCCUCACUCUUCUGAACCUCAGAUCCACUGAGUGUGUAUCCAGAGGUAAGUAUGUGGUAAGUAUGCUUGUCAUUUACAUUAUCUGUCAGCAUGAGUAUUGGUUUCCUAGAAACCUAAUAUUGAAAACACUUAGCAUUGCUAAAAGCAUUAAAUGAAAUAAAGACUCAAUAUAGCUGCACUAAUCUGUGCUUUCUAAAUUUACUGAUGGACGUGAAGAAAGUAGGUUGGCAUGGAGUUUAUACAAUUUAUGGAUCACACUGAUCUGAAUUCAGACAGUGUGUGCUCAGAUAAAAAUAUUGUUUCCUCCCAUGAGGUUUCCAAUUUUGCAGAGAAGAAUACCUCUGUUUAGCUCAUUACUUAACACAAUGGGUAGCUGGGUGGCCUUGCAUUCUGGAAGUGAAAUGACACAAGAAUGUCUCCACUGCAUUCUCCAGAGGUAAAGAUUCUCUGGCACAAAAUCACAACCAAGGUGGGGUUCCAAAACUAUAGAACAAAUGGCAGCAGCCAUGCAGCCAGCCUUGGUUCGGGUGGGCUGUAAAAGCAGAGGUUGUCCUCGUGUUAUCAGCACUGACUUCCUGUUGUGGCCACACUGACAGAGAUGAGAUGGCAGAAAGCAGGAAAGAGACCAGAGCUGCAAUUGACAGAUGGCUGGCCAAAGUUGAAGGGUCAGAGACUACACCAAAGACUUCUCAGAAAAUACUUGCCUAGGAGGCUCUCACUUGGAAAGAUAUUCAGGGUUGUUAAACAUAUCCUGUUAUUAGGAAAACGAGAGUUUUAUCUUUCUCUUACUCAGAAAGAAAAAACAAAAAGAAAAUUAGUGCUCUUAAGAAAAGCUAUUUUAAUGUUAUCCAUUAUAAAAUUAGAAAACCUUGAAAGGCAAAUGUUUCUUCUGACCAUUUACACUGAGCUUCUUUCAUUAUCUCAUAUGCAACCUUGUGGAUUGAAGGUGGAGAGUCCUUAGGAUUACCCAGGAACAUCCCUGUCUGCUCCCCCUGCUAGGCAGGAGGAGAUUUGAAACCACAUGUGUCUACUUCAUUUCUGUCACGGGUAGGACAGUGUCAUAUACUUUGUAGGUAACUCAAAGAUAUUAUAGGUAACUCAUAGAUAUUGAUUGAAUUAAUGUUUAAUAAAAUGAGAACACCA